UACGGGGGGGGCAAGCGUUGUUCGGAAUUACUGGGCGUAAAGGGCUCGUAGGCGGCCAACUAAGUCAGACGUGAAAUCCCUCGGCUUAACCGGGGAACUGCGUCUGAUACUGGAUGGCUUGAGUUUGGGAGAGGGAUGCGGAAUUCCAGGUGUAGCGGUGAAAUGCGUAGAUAUCUGGAGGAAUACCGGUGGCGAAGGCGGCAUCCUGGACCGGCAUUGACGCUGAGUGAGCGAAAGCCAGGGGAGCAAACGGG
rnacentral:rRNA from 1 species